AGUGAACGCUGGCGGUAGGCCUAACACAUGCAAGUCGAACGGCCGCACAGUAAGAGUUUGCUCCUGCGGGUAGCGAGUGGCGGACGAGUGAGGAAUACAUCACAAUCCACUUUUUCGGGGGGGACAUCGUAGGGACACUUACGCUAACACAGCAUAUGACCUACGGGUGAAAGCAGUGGAUAAUCGGACCUUUGCUGACAGAAAGAGACGAAGUCGGAUUAGCUAGUUGGCGGGGUAAAGGCCCACCAAGGCAACGAUCCGUAGCUGGUCUGAGAGGGUGAUCAGCCACACUGGAACUGAGACACGGUCCAGACUCCUACGGGAGGCAGCAGUGGGGAAUAUUGGGCAAUGGGCGCAAGCCUGAUCCAGCCAUACCGCGUGGGUGAAGAAGGCCUUCGGGUUGUAAAGCCCUUUUGUUGGGAAAGAAAGGCAGCAGGUUAAUACCCCGCUGUUCUGACGGUACCCAAAGAAUAAGCACCGGCUAACUUCGUG
rnacentral:rRNA from 1 species